UCAUCUUUUGUAGACUGAAAA
rnacentral:piRNA from 1 species